GGGGCUGACUUGGAUUUGACAGCGUGACGAGGUGGUGGGCAAGCAUGCAGAGCGAUGAUGGCAAAGGCUCUUUAAUAUCAGUCAUCAGCAAAGUUUAAAUGGCGAAAACACUGUCGCUCUUGCUGCCUAAACCGAAGCACAGUAGGUUGGCUUAAUCGCUGCCCAAGGCGGUAGCGACAAGACAUCACCCGAUGGCCCGAGCCUCGAGGCUUAUCGAAACGGUGGUGCUCGCAUAUCGAGGAUAGACUCGGGAAACGUCCCGCCAUCGAGUCGAAAUUUUAGGGAAUAAGUCCGCGGUUGGUCGUUGUGAGCCUGCCUCGGGACGAAAAACAAGUCACGACUAAGCAUGUAGAAAACCCAUGAUUUCCGCGUUUGGACGAGGGUUCAAACCCCUCCAGCUCCAC
rnacentral:tmRNA from 1 species